rnacentral:lncRNA from 1 species
CACCUCCACUUGAUAAAGGUCAACGAUCCCAUUUCAAAUCCUUCACAAUUUCAAACUUGGUCCAAUCAUCUGCUAAGAAUCUGAUUUUCCUCAUUGUCUCGGUGUAAUAGUUUGCCUCUGCUCUGAAAAUUUUGUGAUUUCUCUCCUUCCACAAGCACCAGAGAAUGACACAGAAAAGUACAUCAAAAGUUUUUACUGAAACAUUUAAAUGCUUUGCAUGCCCCGAUCUCC